ACGGAAGCAGCAGGGCCGGCAGGGCUGCGUAACGGGCCACCCGGACUUCGAGGCCCUGUGCCUCAACCCUGAGGUGUUGAGGUUGGCCUACCUCAACAUGCGGCACUACGGGCAGCAAGGGAUGGGCGCAAGUGCCAGCGAAUGCCAGACACCCUGAAGCCGGUGGAUGAUCAUCUCGACAUGUUCCUUGUGGUGCCAGCAACACUUGCACCGCUGGCACUACAGAUUUGCAGCCUACAGGCAGUGUGCCCUGUGGCUGUGGAGCCGCUUGGGA